rnacentral:rRNA from 1 species
AUGCGCUAUAUAGGACUACUAUGUAUGUGUAGACACCAGGCACGACACAGCCUGUUGCCCGAACAAGUAAAUUUACCGGAACCGGUUAAUCAUUCUAAUUUCAAAGAACUGAUUUCAUUCGAUUCGGAAAGGGGAUUUCACUCAUUUCAAAAAACUAAAUUCACUCAUUUUGAAACACUGAUCUCACUUACUUUCGAAGGUUUAGUUACGGAAGCCCUACCCAAUGGAAUGUUCCGCGUUCGGCUAGAGAAUGACACCGUCAUCCUAGGCUAUAUUUCAGGAAAGAUACGGUCUAGUUCUAUACGAAUACUGAUGGGGGAUAGGGUCAAAAUUGAAGUAAGUCGUUAUGAUUCAAGCAAGGGACGUAUAAUUUAUAGACUUCCCCAUAAGGAUUCGAAGCGUAUCGAAGACUCGAAGGAUAGCGAAGAUUUGAAGGAUAGCGAAGAUUUGAAGGAUACCAAAGAUUCAAAGGAUUAG